CAAAAACUGGUUUAUUUAACAAAUUACAUUUCUUGAGUAAAAACAAAAUACAGAUGUUUGCAUGCUGUUUUUCUCCUAGUGAACUUCUAGGCAUCAAAGCCGGGGUUCCCACAUCUGACAGAUAAGAUCUCUAUCACUGUGCUCAACAACAGGCCCCAGAUGAGUUGUCUAGGAGGCAAGUGAUAAUGUGGCUUUACAGUACAGACUCAAAGCCUGAGUGACUCAUGAUGUAAGUGACAGAGUUGCAAUUUGAACACACUGCAUCUGGCCAAGAAGAGAAGUGGCAAGAUCUGAAGAAGAACAAAGUAUGGAGGAAGUUAAAAGAAUACAGUGGGUUGGUGACUGGCUAAAGACACUUGCUGGGAAAGCCUGGUGACCAGAGUUUUAUCCCCAGAAUGCACGUAAAAGGGAGAGGGAGAGAACCAGCUCUACAGUUAUUCUCUGACCUCUACACGGGUACUGUGGAAUAUCAUGCACACACACAAUAAUAAUAAUAAAAUAAAAAUGUCAAAAUAUAGCCAAACAUCAGGUGUCAUGGCACAGCCUGUAAUCUUGGCACUCAUGAGGACGAGGACUGCAAGUUCAAGGUGAACCUGAGCUUCAUAGUGAGUUCCAUCCCAGCUUGAACAACCCACUGAGAUCCAGUGUCAAAGAACUAACUGGGCAUGCCAGCAAGAUGGCUCAGAGGGUAAAGGUACUCACUAACAACCUGAAUUCAAUCCGAUGUGGGACUCACAUAGUAGAAGCAAAAAACCAAUUCCGCUAAAUUGUCCUCUGACCACCACACCUGUGCUGUGGCUCAUGUGCCUGUGUACAUAGAUAUACACACACAAAAUAAGUAAACAUUGUAAGGUGGGGGUGGGGGAAGGACCCUAAAACUAACCAGGGGCUGGAGAGACGGUUCUGAUAUUAAGAGCACUUACUCUGCAAUUACAAGGACCAGAAUUGAGAAUGCAGCACUCACUUAACAAGCCAGGCAUCUCUGAAAAUGCCUCUAACUCCAACCCCAGGGUGAGUGGAAACAAGAGGAUCUGGGGGCGUGCUGGCUUUCAGCCUGAGACAGUGAGUCAGUCUUAGGUUCAAGCAAGGCACUUGCCUCAGAAGAACACGCAGAAAGUGACAGCAGAGGACACCUAAUACCCUCUUCAGGCCUGUGUGAGCUGUAUGCAGGUGCAUACACACACAACACACACACAAGAUUACGUCUAAAAGACACUAAUUUAAAAAUACAGAAUUAGAAAUGAUGACUAUCCUUUCUGAUGAAAGCUAAAAAAAACAAACUCCUGACAAUGGAAGAAAACCAACUCUGCAAAAUUCGAAAGGCCAGGGAGGGGAGAGGGUGUGGGCCCACAGGUCAGGACAGCACACAAGCUUUGCUUGGGGCCUCUGUGAUCUCAUCAGUGCUUUUCAAUGAGCAAACUUCGGACAUAGAAGACAACUACAAGUGUCACAGACAACAGACCCCAGAUCUUCCUAUGACCACACUAAAGCUUGUGUGGUGCACAAGGACCUGAGCCUCUUUUCCUCUCUGAGACCUUAUGCUUUUAAAGAGUUAUCCCCCUAUCUCCACGCUGAAUCCACCAGUGUCAAUCUCACUGGUGCUGGUGCCACCAACCUACUCAGUAUUCACAAGGAGCCUCUGCUUUUCCUUCCCCUGGAGAUGUCUGUCCCAGGCUUCCCGCACAUGACAUCUGCUUCCUCAGAAACGGAUCAGAGCCAAGACAGGGCUAAAGAGAAGGCUUAGUGGGUAAGAGCAUCGUUGCUCUUGUAGAGGACCUAGGUUCAGUUCCCAGCACCCACAUAGUGGCUCACAACUUCAAGUUCCCGGGGAUCCAAUGCCCCUUUUUGGCCUCUUUAGGCCUAAAUGCAGAGAAAACCCUGGUACACAUAAAAGUGUAAGAACCCAGAAAGGAGGAGGGUGCGUAGUCAGUCUUCCAUUGCUGCACAAACACCUGAGAUAACUAAUGAAGAGGAAAGGUUGCUGGGUGUGAUGGAUGGUGCACACCUGUAAUCCUAGCACUUGGGAGACUGAGGCAGGAUGACAUGGGUUCAAGGUCAGCCUGGGCUACAUACCAAAACUCUUGUCUCAAAAAUAAAUACAUAAAUGUUUAUUUUGGCCACAAUUUUGUUGAGUUCGUGGCUCACUAUGUUGCUCUGAGGUCCCUA
ensembl:lncRNA